rnacentral:piRNA from 1 species
UGAAAUUCAGGGCUUCGCGUACUCAUUCA